rnacentral:rRNA from 1 species
AAUGAACGCUGGCGGCAGGCUUAACACAUGCAAGUCGAGCGAGCGGCGGACGGGUGAGUAAUGUAUGGGAAACUGCCUGCUGGAGGGGGAUAACUACUGGAAACGGUAGCUAAUAACGCAUACCAUCAGAUGUGCCCAGAUGGGAUUAGCUAGUAGGUGGGGUAAUGGCUCACCUAGGCGACGAUCCAUAGCUUGUCUGAGAGGAUGACCAGCCCCACUGGAACGGAGACACGGUCCAGACUCCUCCGCGACGCGGAAGUGGGGAAUAUUGCACCAUGGGCGCAAGCCUGAUGUAGCCAUGCCGCGUGGGUGAAGAAGGCCUUCGGGUUUUAAAGCACUUUCAGCGAGGAGGCGUUACUCGCAGAAGAAGCACCGGCUAACUCCGUGCCAGCCGCCGCGGUAAUUC